UCUGACCACUCUUUCUGUGAAAAACCUUUUCCUAAUGUCCAGUCUGACCCUCCCCUGUUGCAAUUUAAAGCCAUUCCCUCUUGUUCUUCAGAGAUGCAUCCCCCUCUUCUGCCACAGGCCCUGGUGGUGGGAUGACCCCUCCUCCAGGGCCUUGGUGACACGCUGGUCUAGGGGCUGGUGAGAGCAGCCAGGUCGGGCGGUUCUCACCCACGCGUGUCACAUCAGGCUCACCCUGUGGUCCCUGCUGAACAUCCCCCAUCCCCAAACAGCUGCUCCCCCCUUUACACAGGGGUAUUGACAGUCUGUGCCCCAUACGGUUAUGCACAUCCACCACACCUGUGUACAGACGCACACAGCCCGUACGCCGCACCUACACCCGCAGGUCGAUCGUGCCAUCAUCGCCAGACACCUGGGUGAGGGCUGGAGACACCCCAAAGCCCCUGCCGCAGUCCGCACCAGCCCUGCGGCUACUCCAAGCAGCACUGGGGGCUCCGAGCUGGGGCUGGAGCAGGAGG